rnacentral:rRNA from 1 species
AGUGAACGCUGGCGGUAGGCCUAACGCAUGCAAGUCGAACGGCAGCACAGUAAGAGCUUGCUCUUACGGGUGGCGAGUGGCGGACGGGUGAGGAAUACAUCGGAAUCUACUUUUUCGUGGGGGAUAACGUAGGGAAACUUACGCUAAUACCGCAUACGACCUACGGGUGAAAGCAGGGGAUCUUCGGACCUUGCGCGAUUGAAUGACCCGAUGUCGGAUUAGCUAGUUGGCGGGGUAAAGGCCCACCAAGGCGACGAUCCGUAGCUGGUCUGAGAGGAUGAUCAGCCACACUGGAACUGAGACACGGUCCAGACUCCUACGGGAGGCAGCAGUGGGGAAUAUUGGACAAUGGGCGCAAGCCUGAUCCAGCCAUACCGCGUGGGUGAAGAAGGCCUUCGGGUUGUAAAGCCCUUUUGUUGGGAAAGAAAAGCAGCAGGUUAAUACCCCGCUGUUCUGACGGUACCCAAAGAAUAAGCACCGGCUAACUUCGUG